AAAGUCGUAACAAGGUUUCCGUAGGUGAACCUGCGGAAGGAUCAUUAACAAAUUCAAAACAACUGUGUUUCUUUAGCUUUGUUGCAUUCAUUGCUUGCUUGUCUCUCUCCCCCAAAGGGAGGGGGCCUGGUUGGUGGUGGGUGUGAUGGGUUAAAGAUGUCACUAAACAACAUACACUUUGAUUGACAACACCUAGUGAUCUAGAAUUAUUAAUUGUAGACAACUUUUAACAAUGGAUCUCUUGGCUCUU
rnacentral:misc_RNA from 1 species